rnacentral:tRNA from 1 species
GGCUGUAGCUCAGUGGCAGAGCGCUUGCCUAGCAUGCGUGAGGCACUGGGUUUGAUCCUCAGCACCA